ACUCCUACGGGAGGCAGCAGUGGGGAAUAUUGCACAAUGGGCGAAAGCCUGAUGCAGCAACGCCGCGUGAGGGACGACGGCCUUCGGGUUGUAAACCUCUUUUAGUAGGGAAGAAGCUUUCGAGUGACGGUACCUGCAGAAAAAGCACCGGCUAACUACGUGCCAGCAGCCGCGGUAAUACGUAGGGUGCAAGCGUUGUCCGGAAUUAUUGGGCGUAAAGAGCUCGUAGGCGGUUUGUCGCGUCUGCUGUGAAAUCCGGGGGCUCAACCUCCGGCCUGCAGUGGGUACGGGCAGACUAGAGUGCGGUAGGGGAGAUUGGAAUUCCUGGUGUAGCGGUGGAAUGCGCAGAUAUCAGGAGGAACACCAAUGGCGAAGGCAGAUCUCUGGGCCGUAACUGACGCUGAGGAGCGAAAGCAUGGGGAGCGAACAGGAUUAGAUACCCUGGUAGUCCAUGCCGUAAACGUUGGGAACUAGGCGUAGGGUCCAUUCCACGGAUUCUGUGCCGCAGCUAACGCAUUAAGUUCCCCGCCUGGGGAGUACGGCCGCAAGGCUAAAACUCAAAGGAAUUGACGGGGGCCCGCACAAGCGGCGGAGCAUGCGGAUUAAUUCGAUGCAACGCGAAGAACCUUACCAAGGCUUGACAUAUACCGAAAACCUGCAGAAAUGUAGGCCCCGCAAGGUCGGUAUACAGGUGGUGCAUGGUUGUCGUCAGCUCGUGUCGUGAGAUGUUGGGUUAAGUCCCGCAACGAGCGCAACCCUCGUUCUAUGUUGCCAGCACGUAAUGGUGGGAACUCAUAGGAGACUGCCGGGGUCAACUCGGAGGAAGGUGGGGAUGACGUCAAAUCAUCAUGCCCCUUAUGUCUCGGGCUUCACGCAUGCUACAAUGGCCGGUACAAAGGGCUGCAAUACCGUAAGGUGGAGCGAAUCCCAAAAAGCCGGUCUCAGUUCGGAUUGAGGUCUGCAACUCGACCUCAUGAAGUCGGAGUCGCUAGUAGUCGCAGAUCAGCAACGCUGCGGUGAAUACGUUCCCGGGCCUUG
rnacentral:rRNA from 1 species